GGCACCCCUGUUGGACUUUCCUUUCUGGAAGGAAGCGUCAGGCCCGAGAUUUCUGGAUCUCCUAAGCGGAAUUUGCUCUGAGGCCUGCGUCACACACGCGCCCGGGCUGUGUAAGGAAGGAAUGUGGAAAAGAGUUUGAUUUUGAUAAAGGUGUCAUGGAGGAGGGGAGCCCUUUCAUUCCGAGAGUGCUGUUCCAGGCACAAGUUUGUUUGCAGGACCUGAAAUUCAGCUUAUCUCCAGAAGCAUGAAGCCCAGAGAAGCAGCAGAAAUGGAGAAGGGUUUAUAUUCCUGUCUCUUUGGUUUGAAGAACUGAACCCUAAUCUCAUUUCCCGCCACCCCUCCCUCCCUACCCCCAAAUCCUCAAGCUAAAGCUGAUCAAGACCUACAUGGGGAAUGAAAAGCUAGUCCCAGACCUGGGAGAAUUACUACUCAAUGAGCUGGGUAGAUAAGCAAGGAGAAAGAAACAAGAAAACUAGAAGUUUUAGUGGCCGUCUCUUAGAGAGGCCGAGAGGCAGCCUGGAGGAGUCAUUAAGGACGUGACUCCCAGACGCCUGCCUUCUGUGCUGCCUCUGCCAUUUCCUAGCUGUGUGACCCUGGUCAAGUUCUUGAGCUCUCUGAGCCUCGAAGAAGAAUAACAAAAAGAAUGAAGAUAUGAUUUCUACCAGGGGCUUCCCUGGUGGCUCAGACAGUAAAGAAUCUGCCUGCAAUUCAGGGGACCUGGGUUUGAUCCCUGAGUCGAGAAGAUCCCCUGAAGGAGGCCGUGGCAACCCACUCAAGUAUUCUUGCCUGGAGAAUCCCCAUGGACAAAGAGGAGCCUGGCGGGCUACUGUCCGUAGGGUCGGAAAGAGUCGGACACAGCUGAGCAGCUAAGCACGUAAUUUCUACCAUCUAGAACUUCAGAGUUCACAUAUACAUUGGCUCAGCAAGUAUCCUUGGACGCCUACUGAGGAUCAGGCAAGGAGACAGUAGUAGGAAUAUGAUCGAAUUCUUGUCUCCAAGGAACAUGCGUCUAGCUGAGAUGUCAGACCCUCGGAGAGAUCUCUUCUGGAAGUGAUGUGUGGAGUAGUUAAGGCAGGGAGGUUUGUUGGAGUUGACAUCCUGGAGCUCACAUCUGGCUCCAUCACUCACCAGCUGUGGAAGAGUCCGCACACACCUCCAUCGCCCUAAAGACCACCUCUCUCUGGAGUGAAAUAAAGGGAGUGAUAAUAUCUACCUUCUUGAACUAGUAAAUAUUUAUUGAGGGUCUAUGACGUGGCAGGCACUUUUCUAGAUGGUUAAGGAUACGGGAGUAGGAAAGACAGGACACAAUCCCCGCCCUCCUGGGGCUGACAUUCCAAGGGAGGAGAGACACAGAUAGAUAGGCAAAUUACAUACUUAGAAGAUAGCAUGUUAAGUGAUGAGAGCUAUGGAGAUAGAAAGCAGGGAAAGAGGAUGGGGAGG
ensembl:lncRNA